rnacentral:lncRNA from 1 species
GAAGACUGUGGCCAUUAAUCUUCUGAACUCCAUAGACCCUUCCUAAUAUCAAUAAAAUGGUCUAAUGGUACCCAAAACUCAAGGUAAAAUUGCGUCCCAGUACUGAAGGGGUUAAUCGUGGUUGUCUAUAUAAAUUCCUGUUUAUGAAUUAGUGACGUAUUUAUUUUGAUUUAUUAUUAGUAGUGGUGUUUAUCUUAUUACGAAUUUCUUCAUAUACGUUAUUUUCUCAUAUUUAUUACGAAAUUUGUUUUUUUUAUUGCUAUUAGUCAUUCAUUAUUCAUCGUAUUAAUGUUAUUGGUAUUGAAUAGUAUAUAGCAGAAAGAAGAGAGAGAGAGAGAGAGAGAGAGAGAGAGAGAGAGAGAGAGAGAGAGAGAGAGAGAGAGAGAGAGAGAGAGAGAGAGAGAGAGAGAGAGAGAGAGAGAGAGAGAGAGAGAGAGAGAGAGAGAGAGAGAGAGAGAUUAAAAUUCAUUACCAAAAACCUAACAUUAGCACAUCACAGAAUAGACGAAACAAACCUUACUGUCUUUAACCAUCUCGAAUAUUUCACUAUGCAUAAAAAAACAGGUAGUAUUGAAAUAGUGUUGUCUUCAUGGAGUGUGGGUGAAGAGUGAAGAGUGAGGGAGCAUCUGGUAGCGUGAAACGAGCGUGACAGCAAUGCUAAGAGGGGCCCGCGGCAGCAGAGAGCAGCGGCGCCAAGCAGAACAGUAGGUUACGUGAGGGCUAAUUUUACCCCUCCAAAGACACGCAUACGGGAAUUUCAAUGUUAAAAAUAAUCUUCAAGGACGUGGCAGGGCGGUGCGGGGCGGGGCCGAACGGGGCGGGGCAGGGAGAGCGCGCCAAAAUUUCAGGGGUACCAACCUUACUGAUACACUCGCACCUGAGCCCGCCAGUGCUUAUAACAGGUGAUCACGUGCCAGUUUUUACCUGUGUGGGGGGUAAUGGGGCCUGAAAUAUAGCCCCUUAAACUGGUAAACUGGUGGGCGGCGCCUCGACAUACACACACACACCAUAUGGGUUGGGUUAGAUGGUUUAGUGUGGCGCGCCUGACAGAAACGUUUUUAUGGUUCAUGAUGUCUCUUGUUUAUCGGUCUAAGCAUCGCGUUUACUUUGUUAUAAGCCGACUAAGUGGAUGUAAUGUAAAUAAUGCGCCUUUUGUCAAGUGUGAUGUGAGAGUGACGUGAUGAGAGUGAUGGUGUGGAUUGAGGUGAUGACGUGACGUGAAGGUUCAAGGAUGCAGUGACAGUGAUGUGCUUUUGUUUGUGGUGGUGAUGGGGAGGCGAGGUACUACAAGCCGGUGUUGAGGGAACGUUCACAUGUAUUGAAUCCUGGCGGUGGAAGAUGAUGAGGGGAGAGGUGACCAUUUGAAAGCAGUAAUGGUGUAAUAGUAAUUGAAAAAAGAAGGAAGAGAAGUAAAAAGAAAGAAAGAAACGCAGUAUGUUCUUUUAUUCUGAAAAUUAAUAGUUUGUUUUAUCACUGGUUUGAAAUGUGAAAGUAAAGUGAAUUGUAACUAAAAAAAAAUCAAAUUGUGUAUGUUUUGAGUGCAUAUAUAGUUAAUUUCCUUUUAUUUAUUUAUUUAUCUAUUUUGCGUGACAUGGUUUAGAAAAAAUACACCAUGCUCUUUUUUAAGGAAGACAUGUGUUUGUAAGAGUGAAGGUUAGAAAAGUUGAAAUAUUUAUACAGAAGUGAAAACUAAUGGAAAGACUGUCCAUUCUGAUUACUGGACAGUAUUGAACAGGGAAGUUAAGUGACGAUGAUGUGACUGUGAACACAAAGAAAGAGAAA